GUGUAAUCCAAAUUGUGUGCGAGGAAGCCAUGUUGCUAUUUGUGUGCAUUUUCAAGAUUGAUGCAUUGCUUUUUCUUUUUGCUUCACUUUGUGCUGCUGCCCUCGUUCCUUAUCCCCAGUUUUGUGUUUCGGCAAGGUUAAGGUCACACACACACACAAACGCGCAAUCCUCCCUUAUGGGGACCGGAUUCUGGGUCCCCACACUGACACACACACAGCAACGCACACACACAGCAACGCACAAUCAUCCCUUAUGGGGACCGGAUUCUGGGUCCCACACUGACACAUACACAAAUGCGCAAUAUUCCCUUAUGGGGACCGGAUUCUGGAGUCCCCCACACUGACACACACACAUGCUCACACACAAACACGCAAUCAUCUCUUAUGGGGACCAGAUUCUAGGUCUCCACAUAGACACACAUGCUCACACACAAACACACAUUUCUCCCUUGUGGGGACUUGAUUCUGGGUCCCCACAAUGUAAGAGGUUCCCAUGAUGCCACAGUGUAAACAGACUUUUGUCCUUAUAAAACGAUGAAUACCAGAACGCACACUAUAAAAUCACAGAGAGAGAAGAUGAAUACACAUCACAGGCAACGACUGUUUAAGUCAUCAGUCGCAGAGUAGCACCAGGGUGUGGAUACUGCGCAGCUCUGAUUAAUUGAGACAUUUAACCUCCGCAGCAGUACAUUUUUACGGAGUGGACUCACCGUAGUCUUUUUUACAGUAUUUCUUCAUGGUGAUCUUCAUUUUCCCUUUGGAAGCUUUACAGUGGGAUUCGCAAUCUGGAAAUAAGGGAAAUAAACCAUUUUUAUAUUUUUAUUUUAGCUCACAAUGUCAUGAUAAUGGAAAAAAUGUGGAUUGAAUGGAAGUGAGACUUAAUUCAUGUCUGAAGAGUCGCCAGUUUAUGCACACUUGGCAUUUCGUGCCAGGCUUGAAAGAUGACUGCUGCUUUUGUCACCAUGCCAGGUUCUCAGGGAGAAGAUUACCUUUGCAAGCUCUCCGGUGUGAGAUGGAUUUGGUCAUGUCUCUGUAGAAACCUUCCUUGCAGUAAUGGCAAUGACGGCCCGCCGUGUUGUGACGACAGUUGAGGCACACCCC